CUCGCCGAGGAAGAUCGGUAAGGAGAUGCUGUCGCGGAAGAACUCCGACGACAAAGGUGCUUCAGUUAAUGAAACAUAUGCCACUAUUGUUAUUGCUAGAAAAAAAAUUCUUAAUUGGAACAUUUUAACUAACUAUUGUGCCACGUGGAUAAACUAACUCACGGAUGGCCUCAGGUGGUCCUACCGAUCAAGUCCAAGUGACAAAGGUGCUCAACGAUCUAGAGCCGUGGUGGCCGUGUCCGGACGGCACAGUACAGAAAUGUGAACUCGUUGCAUUCAAACUCUAUUGCAAAUGCGUGCCUAAAGACGGUGCAGGUCUCACCGGUCCAUCCAUGUCGGCGCCGGCGCACUCGGCGAGGAAGAAGGACGGCGACGAUGUCGCCGUGAGCGACGGUAACUAGCUAGCGC
rnacentral:lncRNA from 1 species